ACUCGGCUAGCUCAGUGGAUAGAGCAUUAGACUCUUAAUCUCAAGUUCAAAGGUUUGAGUCCCAUGUUGGGCU
rnacentral:tRNA from 1 species